GUUCAGAUUGCAGGCUGCAACCCGCCUGCAUGAAGUCGGAAUUGCUAGUAAUCGCGGAUCAGCAUGCCGCGGUGAAUACGUUCCCGGGCCUUGUACACACCGCCCGUCACACCAUGGGAGCCGGUAAUACCCGAAGUCAGUAGUCCAACCACGUGAGGACGCUGCCGAAGGUAGGAUUGGCGACUGGGGUGAAGUCGUAACAAGGUAAC
rnacentral:rRNA from 1 species